GAUGAACGCUGGCGGCGUGCCUAAUACAUGCAAGUCGAGCGAACGGACGAGAAGCUUGCUUCUCUGAUGUUAGCGGCGGACGGGUGAGUAACACGUGGAUAACCUACCUAUAAGACUGGGAUAACUUCGGGAAACCGGAGCUAAUACCGGAUAAUAUUUUGAACCGCAUGGUUCAAAAGUGAAAGACGGUCUUGCUGUCACUUAUAGAUGGAUCCGCGCUGCAUUAGCUAGUUGGUAAGGUAACGGCUUACCAAGGCAACGAUGCAUAGCCGACCUGAGAGGGUGAUCGGCCACACUGGAACUGAGACACGGCCCAGACUCCUACGGGAGGCAGCAGUAGGGAAUCUUCCGCAAUGGGCGAAAGCCUGACGGAGCAACGCCGCGUGAGUGAUGAAGGUCUUCGGAUCGUAAAACUCUGUUAUUAGGGAAGAACAUAUGUGUAAGUAACUGUGCACAUCUUGACGGUACCUAAUCAGAAGGCCACGGCUAACUACGUG
rnacentral:rRNA from 1 species